CGCCUCUUGACAACUUAUAAGAGGUCCAGCCUGCCCAGUGACCCUGUUCAACGGCCGCGGUAUCCUAACCGUGCGAAGGUAGCGUAAUCACUUGUUCUUUAAAUGUGGACUAGUAUGAACGGCACCACGAAGGUUAUACUGUCUCCUUUUUUUAAUCAGUGAAACUAAUCCCCCCGUGAAGAAGCGGGGAUAAAGCUAUAAGACGAGAAGACCCUAUGGAGCUUUAAACAAUAUAGCAUUUGCCUCACAACAUUAAAGUUUCUGAAUCUUUAUACUUCACUAGGCAAUAUGACUAUGAGUUUUUGGUUGGGGUGACCGCGGAGCCUAAAAUAACCUCCACGUUGAAAGAAUCCUUUUAAGCUAAGAGUUACUAAUCUAAGCAUCAAUAAAUUGACAUCCAUUGACCCAAUAUACUUGAACAACGAACCAAGUUACCCUAGGGAUAACAGCGCAAUCCACUUCAAGAGCUCCUAUCGACAAGUGGGUUUACGACCUCGAUGUUGGAUCAGGGUAUCCCAGUGGUGCAGCCGCUACUAAAGGUUCGUUUGUUCAACGAUUAAAGCCCUACG
rnacentral:rRNA from 1 species